AGUGAACGCUGGCGGUAGGCCUAACACAUGCAAGUCGAACGGCAGCACAGUAAGAGCUUGCUCUUACGGGUGGCGAGUGGCGGACGGGUGAGGAAUACAUCGGAAUCUACUUUUUCGUGGGGGAUAACGUAGGGAAACUGACGCUAAUACCGCAUACGACCUACGGGUGAAAGCAGGGGAUCUUCGCACCUUGCGCGAUUGAAUGAGCCGAUAUCGGAUUAGCUAGUUGGCGGGGUAAAGGCCCACCAAGGCGACGAUCCGUAGCUGGUCUGAGAGGAUGAUCAGCCACACUGGAACUGAGACACGGUCCAGACUCCUACGGGAGGCAGCAGUGGGGAAUAUUGGGCAAUGGGCGCAAGCCUGAUCCAGCCAUACCGCGUGGGUGAAGAAGGCCUUCGGGUUGUAAAGCCCUUUUGUUGGGAAAGAAAAGCAGCAGGUUAAUACCCCGCUGUUCUGACGGUACCCAAAGAAUAAGCACCGGCUAACUUCGUG
rnacentral:rRNA from 1 species